rnacentral:rRNA from 1 species
AUUGAACGCUGGCGGCAGGCCUAACACAUGCAAGUCGAGCGGAGCUGCGGACGGGUGAUUGCUGCCUAGGAAUCUGCCUGGUAGUGGGGGAUAACGUCCGGAAACGGGCGCUAAUACCGCAUACUCUAAAAUGGGCCUAGGUCGGAUUAGCUAGUUGGUGGGGUAAAGGCCUAGCAAGGCGACGAUCCGUAACCGGUCUGAGAGGAGGAUCAGUCAACAUGGAACUGAGACACGGUCCAGCUGCCCACGGGAGGUAGCAGUGGGGAAUAUUGGGCAAUUGGCGAAAGCCUGAUCCAGCCAUGGCGCGUGUGUGAAGAAGGGCUUCGGAUUGUAAAGCCCUUGAAGUUGGGAGGCGUUACCAACAGAAUAAGCACCAGCUAAAUUCGUGCCAGCAGCCGCGGUAAUAC